UUACUUAAAUAAUGGAUUUAUGUAGGAAGUGAACAUGUGCUGGUUCAUUUUUAAUUUAAUCUACUGAGUGAGUUGGGUCUUUACACAGUGUCAAUCUAAGUCUGUUCUGUGAACUGCAAAGUAAACUCAAGUUCACCCUCAGAAUAAAAAAAAAAAAAAAAAGUCUUAAUCAAAAGUUUCAUUGAAUCUUCUCAGGAUGAAAACAGCAGUUUUAAGUGCUGCUAAUUGGUUUUGAAUGAAGGGACAGCAAAGAAAACCAGCUGUGAUUGAGACUUGUGUGUGUUUUUAGAGGUUGCAAAAGCACCUGCAAGGAGCCCAGCCCAUCAGUUUUAUGCCCAAUGCAUAACCCUGCAAGGUUCUGUAAGUCAUUUGUAGAAAGUGCUGAUUUUAAAAAGUCAUAUUUAAAGGACUUCGUAGCCAUCUGCAGGGCUUUUUGAUAAUAGGAAAUCAAAUGGUGGAACUUUGGAGCACAGUUACUUACAAAGAAUUGUUCUGUUGGAGAAUGGAGUAUAGGGAGAGGAGAGCUCAUGCCUUAUUUUGGUGGCUAAAAGGAAUGCAGAACUCCAGAGGGGCUCUUUAAAAUGCUGUUUAUUGUACACAAACGAUGCAGCAAUUCACGGGUCAUGGGUGACAAGAGCCCAGCCCACAGCCUGUCAGCCCAGCUGUGGUUUGCUGAAAGCCUCUCUCCUUCUGCUUACAAUACAUGAUUUACAUUUCAUUGUAGAUCAUCUUAAUACAUGACAGCCAAUCAACACCUUUACAAUUACCUAUGGCCUAUCACAACUACUCACAUUGCCACAUUCACGUUACUAUUUUCCAGUCACAAAAGGUUAGUGUGUUACAGUUUAAGCUAGAAGUUGUUUUUCAGUUUUCUUGCGGUGGAAAAUUCUGAGAUCUUUACUUGGAACAUGGCGUUUUUGUUUGUGAAAAUCCUUUUGCUUGGUAAAAACAUCUUUUGAUUGAGGUGGAUUUUUUCUUUGCUCAGAGCCAUAAAAGCCCCUUCCAACUCACUUGCUCUUUGCCUUUUUAGCUACCCUGUGAAACUGGCUCAGCAAUUCUUUUCUUCUAUACCAAAACUCGCUGUCAUUUCUAUACCUUCUUCAGAUUCUCCAUUCAAAGAUCUUUCUGCUAUACAUACAUACAUAUCUGUACAUAUAUCUACACAUCAUACAUAUCCUGUCAAAUCCUCCUCCUUCCCAACAGAUGGCGAUGUUGGAAAUAAUAAGAGAAGUCCUGACACUAUGCUCUGUUUUUGAAAAUGUGUACUUUUGUGGACCUGAAUGAAAAGUGGGGCUGGGAAAUUCUGAGGUGCAAGUUUAGCUAUGUUUCAAAUUGUUUUCUCUGUGAAGGAGCACUAUAAACAUAGACUGGAGCAGACUGAUUUCUGUGGACUGAAAGGAGCUUGGAGGAUUGGAUUCAACCAAAAAUCUCAACUGGAAAGAAUUUAAUAUGAAGCAAGAAUUACAGAGUUUAUGCUUGCUGUAGUACAGGACUAACCAAAUACCUGCCAGAAGUCUUUCAGAAACAUGCUUAGCCAUGUUCUAGGAACAAGGGGCUUAGAAACACGGCUUUGCUCUUCUCCUGUCUAACUGAUGGGAGGGACUGAAGUUCUGAGGUGUUCUCAAGGCUUCUCUUGCCUGCAUAGAGAAGUCUGUAAUGUGUCAGCUGGAAAAAGCACAGGUGCUGCCUGCAGGCAGGCACCCAGGCAGGAAGAGCUUUUAUUCUGCAAAUGGCUUCUGUGUGGCAAUGUGGAUUAUGGUGCAGUGCAAGCAAUUUAACUGCUAAGUGUUCUAUUUCAAUUUCAUAA